GACGAACGCUGGCGUCUUGCUUAACACAUGCAAGUCAAACGGAAAGUCCCUGCUUUUGUGGGGUGCUCUAGUGGCGAACUGGUGAUUAACACUUGAGUAACCUGCCCUUGACUUUGUUAUAACUUCAGGAAACUGGGGCUAAUACCGCAUAGGAUCUCCUGCUGCAUGUUUGGGGUUGGAAAGUUUCGGCGGUUGGUGAUGGACUCGCUGCUUAUCAGCUUGUUGGUGGGGUAGUGGCUUACCAAGGCUUUGACGGGUAGCCGGCCUGAGAGGGUGACCGGCCACAUUGGGACUGAGAUACGGCCCAGACUCCUACGGGAGGCAGCAGUGGGGAAUAUUGCACAAUGGGCGGAAGCCUGAUGCAGCAACGCCGCGUGCGGGAUGACGGCCUUCGGGUUGUAAACCGCUUUCGCCUGUGACGAAGCGUGAGUGACGGUAAUGGGUAAAGAAGCACCGGCUAACUACGUG
rnacentral:rRNA from 1 species